rnacentral:rRNA from 1 species
GACGAACGCUGGCGGCGUGCUUAACACAUGCAAGUCGAACGGAAAGGCUCCAGCUUGCUGGAGUACUCGAGUGGCGAACGGGUGAGUAACACGCGGGUAAUCUGCCCUGCACUCUGGGAUAAGCCUGGGAAACUGGGUCUAAUACUGGAUAUGACCUUUCUCCUUAUGGGGUUUGGUGGAAAGUUUUUCGGUGUAGGAUGAGCCCGCGGCCUAUCAGCUUGUUGGUGGGGUGAUGGCCUACCAAGGCGACGACGGGUAGCCGGCCUGAGAGGGUGAUCGGCCACAUUGGGACUGAGAUACGGCCCAGACUCCUACGGGAGGCAGCAGUGGGGAAUAUUGCACAAUGGGCGGAAGCCUGAUGCAGCGACGCCGCGUGAGGGAUGACGGCCUUCGGGUUGUAAACCUCUUUCAGCAGGGACGAAGCGUAAGUGACGGUACCUGCAGAAGAAGCACCGGCUAACUAUGUG